rnacentral:rRNA from 1 species
ACUUUGGGAGGCAGUUGGAAACGACUGCUAAUACCGAAUACCUUCGGAGGCCCGCAUGGGUCAUCGAAGAAAGAAUUUCGGUCCGGGAGAGUCUCGCGGCCUAUCAGCUAGUUGGUGGGGUAAUGGCCUACCAAGGCAACGACGGGUAGCUGGUCUGAGAGGAUGAUCAGCCACACUGGGACUGAGACACGGCCCAGACUCCUACGGGAGACAGCAGUGGGGAAUCUUGUGCAAUGGGCGCAAGCCUGACACAGCAACGCCGCGUGCGGGAAGAAGGCCUUCGGGUCGUAAACCGCUUUCAGCAGGAACGAAAAUGACGGUACCUGCAGAAGAAGAUGCGGCCAACUACGUGCCAGCAGCCGCGGUGACACGUAGGCAUCAAGCGUUGUCCGGAUUUAUUGGGCGUAAAGAGCUCGUAGGCGGUUCAGCAAGUCGGGUGUGAAAACUAUGGGCUUAACCCAUAGCCUGCAUCCGAAACUGCUGUGACUAGAGUUCGGUAGGGGAGAGGGGAAUUCCUAGUGUAGCGGUGAAAUGCGCAGAUAUUAGGAGGAACACCGAUGGCGAAGGCACCUCUCUGGGCCGAUACUGACGCUGAGGAGCGAAAGCGUGGGUAGCAAACAGGAUUAGAUACCCUGGUAGUCCACGCCGUAAACGUUGGGCACUAGGUGUGGGGUCUCUAACCAACGAGAUCCGCGCCGUCGCUAACGCAUUAAGUGCCCCGCCUGGGGAGUACGGUCGCAAGACUAAAACUC